AAACAAUAGAAACACACAAUUUCUACGUAAAAAUCUGGUUUUAACAUACUCUUUCUGUAAAAAACUACAACUGUAUUUGACUUAAUCAUUAACACAAGAAUCUUUUCAAAUCAACAACUUUGCAUUGUAUUGUCACUUACAGUUUUUUUAUGUUGCAAUUUUACAACUUUUUGGUGUUAAUUCUACGGUCAUUUUUUACAGUGUAAUGACAGCAUUUUAA